UCCUGAGAGAAGUGAAUUGUGAGAAUGUGUUUCCAGAACUGAAGAGAAGUCAGCAGUUGUAGUGGUAAUUAAAGGUAGCUUGGUGGUCUUUUCUUGCCAGGGGCUCAUCAUAUUGGUACUGGACUUGGUAUAGACAAUUGAUUGGCUUAACCCACUGCAACACAGAAAUCCUGAGCUCAAAUGAUCCAUCAGCUUCAUCCUUUCUAAUAACAGGAAGUACAGGUGUUCAUCAACACUACUGGCUGUGGCUAGCAGCUUGGUGAUGCAGUGGUUAGAGCGAUGGCCUGG